UAGUCUCAGUUCGGAUCGGAGUCUGCAACCCGACUCCGUGAAGCUGGAUUCGCUAGUAAUCGCGCAUCAGCCAUGGCGCGGUGAAUACGUUCCCGGGCCUUGUACACACCGCCGUCAAGCCAUGGGAGCCGGGAGUGCCUGAAGUCCGUGACCGCGAGGAGCGGCCUAGGGUAAGACCGGUGACUGGGGCUAAGUCGUAACAAGGUAAC
rnacentral:rRNA from 1 species